AACAAAAACUUAACUCUAAUAUAAUACUAACUAAAUUCUAAUUAGGUCAUAAUAAUGCUAAAGAAGCUUUAAUCAAAUUCAAAGAAAUCCUAGCAAAAUUUCAAAGAAACAAUAAGAAAUCUUAAAGCAAUAUUAAAAUGAUGACAAAUAUAUCUCAAAUACAUCUCAAUUCAAUCCUAAUACAAUCUUAGUUAAAAUCCAAUUUAACUUUAUUCAAAUUUUACCCCAAAACUAAUUAAAUCUUAAAUCCUAAAUAAACCCUAAUAAAAUCUUAAAUCCUAAAUUAAAUCCUAAAUCCUAAAUCAAAUUCUAAAUUCAAAAUCAAAUCCUAACUAAAUCUUAAAUCUUAAAUCUUAAAUCAAAUCUUAAAUCUUAAACCAAAUCUUAAACUUUAAACCAAAUCCUAAUCAAACCCUAAAUCAAACCCCAACCAAACUCUAAAUAAAAUCCUAACCAAACUCCAAACCUUGAAUCAACUCCUAAACCCUAAACCAAAUCCUAAUCCAAUCUUAAAUCAAAUCCUAACCAAAUCCUAAAUUAAAUCCUAAAUCCUAAAUCAACCCCUAAUCAAAUCUUAAUCCUAAAUCAAAUCCUAACCAAAUUCUAAGUCCUAAACCAAAUCCUAACCAAAUUCUAACCCCUAAACCAAAUCCUAACUAAACCCUAAUAAUUUCUACAACAAAUUUAAACCUCAAUAACUAAUGAAUGAACCAUUGAUCUUAAUUCAAAUUUUGUAUAUUUCUUAAAAACUAAAUUAGAAACAUGUACAAAAAAUUUGAAAAUAGAUCGAAAUUACCAAAUAGACGAUAACCUCAAAAACGUGCUCACUUAUUGGCCGGCCUCCUUUUCCAACCUUAAUGCUAAUCUCUGAGAGCCAAUAUCUCUUUUUUUCACCGUUCAAUUGAUUUCAAAAUUCUCAUACACAUAGAAAAACAAGUCAUAUAUCUUCUCACACAAUUCUCACUCCAAUCCAACUAGUAAAUUGCAAGAAAUCUUAAAAAUCUUUACUGGACCUAAAAUUCUACUUUUUGAGAAUUUGACGCAUUUUAACCUCAAUAAUCCUCAAUUUAACCAUUAGAUCAAGCUCAAAUUCAGAACACAUAUUAAUCACAACUUUAAACAUUAACCUACAAAACUUCACUUGUACAUCUAUUACAAAACUCUUGAAAUCACCCAAAAUGUAAACCCUAUUUUAUUUCACAAAAUCCAAGUCAUCCAAAACAAACCUUGACUUUGCAAAGCUCUUACAAAGUCAAUACAGAUCCAAAUCACCCAAAACAAAUGAUCAUAAAAACCUUAUCUAAUCUUCUAUCAAAUCCCAUUCUUCGAUCUACCAAAGAAUCCCCAAGUUGUAAUAGGUACUCGGUUUUAUGCCUUAGGAUCUGAAUUUGAUCCAGAUUGUUAAG
rnacentral:lncRNA from 1 species